GACGAACGCUGGCGGCGUGCUUAACACAUGCAAGUCGAACGCUGAAGCUCAGCUUUUGUUGGGUGGAUGAGUGGCGAACGGGUGAGUAACACGUGAGUAACCUGCCCCCUUCUUUGGGAUAACGCCCGGAAACGGGUGCUAAUACUGGAUAUUCCCUGGUCUUCGCAUGGGGGCUGGUGGAAAGGGUUUUUCUGGUGGGGGAUGGGCUCGCGGCCUAUCAGCUUGUUGGUGGGGUGAUGGCCUACCAAGGCUUUGACGGGUAGCCGGCCUGAGAGGGUGACCGGUCACAUUGGGACUGAGAUACGGCCCAGACUCCUACGGGAGGCAGCAGUGGGGAAUAUUGCACAAUGGGCGCAAGCCUGAUGCAGCGACGCCGCGUGUGGGAUGGAGGCCUUCGGGUUGUGAACCUCUUUCGCUCAUGGUCAAGCCGCAACAAUGGUUGUGGUGAGGGUAGUGGGUAAAGAAGCGCCGGCUAACUACGUG
rnacentral:rRNA from 1 species